rnacentral:rRNA from 1 species
UACGUAGGGCGCAAGCGUUGUCCGGAAUUAUUGGGCGUAAAGAGCUCGUAGGCGGUUUGGAUAGUCGGGUGUGAAAACUCCGAGCUCAACUCGGAGACGCCACCCGAUACUGCCAUGACUGGAGUCCGGUAGGGGAGCAGGGAAUUCCUGGUGUAGCGGUGAAAUGCGCAGAUAUCAGGAGGAACACCGGUGGCGAAGGCGCUGCUCUGGGCCGGUACUGACGCUGAGGAGCGAAAGCGUGGGUAGCAAACAGG